rnacentral:rRNA from 1 species
AGUGAACCGGGAAAAGCUCAAAUUUAAAAUCUGGCGGUCUUCAUGGCCGUCCGAGUUGUAAUUUAGAGAAGCGUUAUCCACGCUGGACCGUGUACAAGUCUCCUGGAAGGGAGCAUCAUAGAGGGUGAGAAUCCCGUCUUUGACACGGACUACCAGGGUUUUGUGAUACGCUCUCAACGAGUCGAGUUGUUUGGGAAUGCAGCUCAAAGUGGGUGGUAAAUUCCAUCUAAAGCUAAAUAUUGGGGAGAGACCGAUAGCGCACAAGUACCGUGAGGGAAAGAUGAAAAGAACUUUGGAAAGAGAGUUAAACAGUACGUGAAAUUGUUGAAAGGGAAACGCUUGAAGUCAGUCGUCCUGGGCGGAAAUCAGCCUUGCUUUUGCUUGGUUUACUUUCUGUUCGGGGGGUCAACGUCAAUUUUGGUCGGUGGACAAAGGCUUGGAGAAUGUGGCACCUUCGGGUGUGUUAUAGCUCUGGGUCGGUAUACAUCGGCUGGGAUUGAGGAACUCAGCACGCCUUUAUUGGCCGGGUACUUGUACCACGUACGUGCUUAGGAUGUUGGCAUAAUGGCUUUAAUCGACCCGUCUUGAAACACGGACCAAGGAGUCUAACAUGCAUGCGAGUGUUUGGGUGGAAAACUCGAACGCGUAAUGAAAGUGAAGGUUAAGAUCCCUGUCGUGGGGAGCAUUGACGCCCGGAGCAGACCUUUUGUGACGCUUCCGCGGUAGAGCAUGUAUGUUGGGACCCGAAAGAUGGUGAACUAUGCCUGAAUAGGGUGAAGCCAGGGGAAACCCUGGUGGAAGCUCGUAGCGAUUCUGACGUGCAAAUCGAUCGUCGAAUUUGGGUAUAGGGGCGAAAGACUAAUCGAACCAUUUUGAAACAAAGUUACUUGGUGGUUAAGAGGGGGGCUGAAAAGUCACCCUAGUAAGAGUUGAGGAUUGCGACACUGUCAAAUUGCGGGGACCUCCUUAGAGCUCUUUGCUACCGCCUUUAGGCUGAAAAGUCAAUUGGCACCUCGGCGUAAUGGCCUUGGGUAUGGUAAUAACGCACAAGAGAUUGGAAAAUCCGCAGCCAAGUGCUAAGGGUAGUAACUGACCUAUGCAUGCUGUUCACAGACUAGAUGGCAGUGGGUGUUGCAUUUCACAAAAUGCAAUGCUUAAGAUAUAGUCGGUCCCGCUGCGAAAGCAGACCGGUGGAUGAAGGUUAAC